AUCACUGGUGUUCGGGUUGUCAUGCCAAUGGCACUGCCCGGUAGCUAAAUGCGGAAGAGAUAAGUGCUGAAAGCAUCUAAGCACGAAACUUGCCCCGAGAUGAGUUCUCCCUGAGACUUAGAGUCUCCUGAAGGAACGUUGAAGACGACGACGUUGAUAGGCCGGGUGUGUAAGCGCAGCGAUGCGUUGAGCUAACCGGUACUAAUGAACCGUGAGGCUUAACCUU
rnacentral:rRNA from 2 species